GCUUGGGGCGGUCUACAAUGCAAGUCGAGCGGCCGCGGGUAGGAAUCUUGCUUCCUAUGCCGGCGAGUGGCGGACGGGUGAGGAACACAUCGCAAUCUACUCCGACGGGGGGGAUAACGUAGGGAAACUUACGCUAAUACCGCAUACUACCUACCGGUGAAAGUGGGGGACCGCAAGGCCUCACGCGAUGGAAUGAGCCGAUGUCCGAUUAGCUAGUUGGCGGGGUAAAAGCCCACCAAGGCGACGAUCGGUAGCUGGUCUGAGAGGAUGAUCAGCCACACUGGGACUGAAACUCAGCCCAGACUCCUACUGGAGGCAGCAGUGGGGAAUAUUGGACAAUGGGCGAAAGCCUGAUCCAGCCAUGCCGCGUGGGUGAAAAAGGCCUUCGGGUUGUAAAGCCCUUUUGUUGGGGAAGAAAUCCUGCUGGCUAAUACCCGGCGGGGAUGACGGUACCCAAAGAAUAACCACCGGCUAACUUCGUGCCAGCAGCCGCGGUAAUACGAAGGGUGCAAGCGUUACUCGGAAUUACUGGGCGUAAAGCGUGCGUAGGUGGUGGCUUAUUUCCGUUGUGAAAGCCCUGGGCUCAACCUGGGAAUUGCAGUGGAUACUGGGUCACUAGAGUGUGGUAGAGGGUGGCGGAAUUCCCGGUGUAGUGUUGAAAUGCGUAGAGAUCGGGAGGAACACCCGUGGCGAGGGCGGCCACCUGGUCCAACACUGACACUGAGGCACGAAAGCGUGGCGAGCAAACAGGAUUAGAUACCCUGCUAGUCCACGCCCUAAACGAUGCGAACUGUAUGUUGGGUUCAAUUUGGGACUCACUAUCGAAGCUAACGCGUUAAGUUCGCCGCUUGGGGAGUACGGUCGCAAGACUGAGACUCAAAUGAAUUGACGUGAGCCCGCACCAGCGGUGGAGUAUGUGGUUUAGUUUGAUGCAACGCAAGAACUUACCUGAUCUUGACAUGCCCUGCUCUGCCCAUAGAUGGGCGGGUGCCUUCCGGAGCCGCGGAGACAGUGCUGCAUGGCUGUCGUCGCUCCUGCCUGGAGAUGUUGAUUUAGUCCUGCAACCAGCGCACCUUGUCCUUAGUGCCAGUCGUACUGUGGGUACGUCUACGAAUCUGACUGUUGACUACCGGACGGAUGAAGUAU
rnacentral:rRNA from 1 species